rnacentral:rRNA from 1 species
GCCAGACUCCUACGGGAGGCAGCAGUGAGGAAUAUUGGUCAAUGGCCGAGAGGCUGAACCAGCCAAGUCGCGUGAGGGAAGACGGCCCUACGGGUUGUAAACCUCUUUUGUCGGGGAGCAAAGCGAACCACGUGUGGUUCAUUGAGAGUACCCGAAGAAAAAGCAUCGGCUAACUCCGUGCCAGCAGCCGCGGUAAUACGGAGGAUGCGAGCGUUAUCCGGAUUUAUUGGGUUUAAAGGGUGCGCAGGCGGAGGUGCAAGUCAGCGGUCAAAUUGCGGGGCUCAACCCCGUACUGCCGUUGAAACUGGGUGCCUUGAGUGGGCGAGAAGUACGCGGAAUGCGUGGUGUAGCGGUGAAAUGCAUAGAUAUCACGCAGAACUCCGAUUGCGAAGGCAGCGUACCGGCGCCCAACUGACGCUGAAGCACGAAGGCGUGGGUAUCGAACAGGAUUAGAUACCCUGGUA